AGCAGCCGCGGUAAUUCCAGCUCCAAUAGCGUAUAUUAAAGUUGUUGCAGUUAAAAAGCUCGUAGUUGAAUUUCGGGGUCAGUAGGUUGGUCGUGCCACUGGUAUGCACUGGUCUCACUGAUUCCUCCUUCCUGAUGAACCGUAAUGCCAUUAAUUUGGUGUUGCGGGGAAUCUGGACUGUUACUUUGAAAAAAAUUAGAGUGUUUAAAGCAGGCUAACGCUUGAAUACAUUAGCAUGGAAUAACGAAAUAGGACGAUCGAUCCUAUUUUGUUGGUUUCUAGGAUUGACGUAAUGAUUAAUAGGGAUAGUUGGGGGCAUUAGUAUUCAAUUGUCAGAGGUGAAAUUCUUGGAUUUAUUGAAGACUAACUACUGCGAAAGCAUUUGCCAAGGAUGUUUUCAUUAAUCAAGAACGAAAGUUAGGGGAUCGAAGACGAUCAGAUACCGUCGUAGUCUUAACCAUAAACUAUGCCGACUAGGGAUCGGAUGAUGUUAAUUUUUUUAAUGUACUCAUUCGGCGUA
rnacentral:rRNA from 1 species